AGCAGCCGCGGUAAUUCCAGCUCCAAUAGCGUAUAUUAAAGUUGUUGUAGUUAAAAAGCUCGUAGUUGAAUUUCGGGGUUUAUCCGUCGGUCGGGCUUUUGGGUCUGUACUGGCGUGAUGGAUUCCUACCUUCUGAAUAACCAGCAUGCCAUUAAUUUGGUGCGUUGGGGAAGCAGGACUGUUACCUUGAAAAAAUUAGAGUGCUUAAAGCAGGCUAUUACCUGAAUACAUUAGCAUGGAAUAAUGAAAUAGGACGCAUGGUUCUAUUUUGUUGGUUUCUAGGAUCACCGUAAUGAUUAAUAGGGAUAGUUGGGGGCAUUAGUAUUCAAUUGUCAGGGGUGAAAUUCUUGGAUUUAUUGAAGACUAACUUCUGCGAAAGCAUUUGCCAAGGAUGUUUUCAUUAAUCAAGAACGAAAGUUAGGGGAUCGAAGACGAUCAGAUACCGUCGUAGUCUUAACCAUAAACUAUGCCGACUAGGGAUCGGACGAUGUUAAUUUUUAAUGACUCGUUCGGCGCCUUA
rnacentral:rRNA from 1 species